AGAGUUUGAUCCUGGCUCAGGAUGAACGCUGGCGGCGUGCCUAACACAUGCAAGUCGAACGAGAAGCUAACUUCUGAUUCCUUCGGGAUGAUGAGGUUAGCAGAGAGUGGCGAACGGGUGAGUAACGCGUGGGUAAUCUACCCUGUAAGUGGGGGAUAACCCUCCGAAAGGAGGGCUAAUACCGCAUAAUAUCUUCUCCUCUAUAAGAGGUAAAGAUUAAAGAUGGCCUCUAUACUAUGCUAUCACUUCAGGAUGAGCCUGCGUCCUAUUAGUUAGUUGGUGGGGUAAUGGCCUACCAAGACCACAAUGGGUAGCCGGUCUGAGAGGAUGUACGGCCACACUGGGACUGAGAUACGGCCCAGACUCCUACGGGAGGCAGC
rnacentral:rRNA from 1 species